GAUGAACGCUGGCGGCGUGCUUAACACAUGCAAGUCGAACGAUGAAGCCAGCUUGCUGGUGGAUUAGUGGCGAACGGGUGAGUAACACGUGAGUAACCUGCCCUUGGCUCUGGGAUAAGCCUGGGAAACCGGGUCUAAUACUGGAUACGACCUUCCCACGCAUGUGGUGUUGGUGGAAAGCUUUUGUGGUUUUGGAUGGACUCGCGGCCUAUCAGCUUGUUGGUGGGGUAAUGGCCUACCAAGGCGACGACGGGUAGCCGGCCUGAGAGGGUGACCGGCCACACUGGGACUGAGACACGGCCCAGACUCCUACGGGAGGCAGCAGUGGGGAAUAUUGCACAAUGGGCGCAAGCCUGAUGCAGCGACGCCGCGUGAGGGAUGAAGGCCUUCGGGUUGUAAACCUCUUUCAGUAGGGAAGAAGCUGAUCCUUUGGGUUGGUGACGGUACCUGCAGAAGAAGCGCCGGCUAACUACGUGCCAGCAGCCGCGGUAAUACGUAGGGCGCAAGCGUUAUCCGGAAUUAUUGGGCGUAAAGAGCUCGUAGGCGGUUUGUCGCGUCUGCCGUGAAAGUCCGGGGCUUAACCCCGGAUCUGCGGUGGGUACGGGCAGACUAGAGUGCAGUAGGGGAGACUGGAAUUCCUGGUGUAGCGGUGAAAUGCGCAGAUAUCAGGAGGAACACCGAUGGCGAAGGCAGGUCUCUGGGCUGUAACUGACGCUGAGGAGCGAAAGCAUGGGGAGCGAACAGGAUUAGAUACCCUGGUAGUCCAUGCCGUAAACGUUGGGCACUAGGUGUGGGGGACAUUCCACGUUUUCCGCGCCGUAGCUAACGCAUUAAGUGCCCCGCCUGGGGAGUACGGCCGCAAGGCUAAAACUCAAAGGAAUUGACGGGGGCCCGCACAAGCGGCGGAGCAUGCGGAUUAAUUCGAUGCAACGCGAAGAACCUUACCAAGGCUUGACAUGAACCGGAAUGAUGCAGAGAUGUGUCAGCCACUUGUGGCCGGUUUACAGGUGGUGCAUGGUUGUCGUCAGCUCGUGUCGUGAGAUGUUGGGUUAAGUCCCGCAACGAGCGCAACCCUCGUUCCAUGUUGCCAGCGGGUUAUGCCGGGGACUCAUGGGAGACUGCCGGGGUCAACUCGGAGGAAGGUGGGGACGACGUCAAAUCAUCAUGCCCCUUAUGUCUUGGGCUUCACGCAUGCUACAAUGGCCGGUACAAAGGGUUGCGAUACUGUGAGGUGGAGCUAAUCCCAAAAAGCCGGUCCCAGUUCGGAUUGAGGUCUGCAACUCGACCUCAUGAAGUUGGAGUCGCUAGUAAUCGCAGAUCAGCAACGCUGCGGUGAAUACGUUCCCGGGCCU
rnacentral:rRNA from 1 species